AAGAAUAUAGCUUAAUUGGUAGAGCCUAUGUCUUCAACACAUAUAGUAAUAGUUCGAUUCUAUUUAUUCUUG